rnacentral:rRNA from 1 species
AUGCCGGAGCUGAUACCCCGAUGCUGCCGUCCAUUACAAGAGAUCGACCUCUCUCAUCCACGCCUUCGGACCGGGAUCCUUGCAUCACGUCCUCUCGCUUCAUCCCCGACAUCAUCCACCUUGCCGGCGCCGCUCCUACGACCAUCUCGUCCACCGCGCCCCGCCGCCACCGUCUACCCUCCUAGAUCUGCUUCCACGCCACCGACAGCCAUCGCUACCGCAGCACCGUCAAAUUCUCACCAGAUGCGUACACGGCACCGCACCAGAGGCGGUACUCUUUUGUAUCUGCUCAACUUAUUUAUCACAGUAAGAAAAUAG